AUACAUGCAAGUCGAACGGUUGUCAGCAAUGGCAAUAGUGGCGCACGGGUGCGUAACGCGUAACCAACCUACCCGAAUCUGGGGGAUAGCCCGCCAAAAGGCGGAUUAAUACCGCAUAAAACUGCACCCUGACAUCAGGUAACAGUUAAAGAUUUAUUGGAUUCGGAUGGGGUUGCGUGCCAUUAGCUAGUUGGCGGGGUAACGGCCCACCAAGGCAACAAUGGCUAGGGGAGCUGAAAGGCUGGUCCCCCACACGGGCACUGAAAUACGGGCCCAACUCCUACGGGAGGCAGCAGUAGGGAAUAUUGGGCAAUGGUCAAAAGACUGACCCACCCAUGCCGCGUGCAGGAUGAAGGCUUUCUGAGUCGUAAACUGCUUUUACCAGGGAAAAAAAAAGGGGAUGCGUCCUUUACUGACGGUACCUGGUGAAUAAGCACCGGCUAACUCCGUGCCAGCAGCCGCGGUAAUACGGAGGGUGCAAGCGUUGUCCGGAUUUAUUGGGUUUAAAGGGUGCGUAGGCGGCUGAUUAAGUCUGGGGUGAAAGCCCGUUGCUCAACAACGGAACUGCCCUGAAAACUGGUUAGCUUGAGUACAGACGAGGGUGGCGGAAUGGAUACUGUAGCGGUGAAAUGCAUAGAUAGUAUCCAGAACCCCGAUUGC
rnacentral:rRNA from 1 species